rnacentral:rRNA from 1 species
UACGUAGGGUGCGAGCGUUAAUCGGAAUUACUGGGCGUAAAGCGUGCGCAGGCGGCGCGUUAAGACAGGUGUGAAAGCCCCGAGCUUAACUUGGGAAUUGCGCUUGUGACUGGCGUGCUGGAGUGUGGCAGAGGGAGGUGGAAUUCCACGUGUAGCAGUGAAAUGCGUAGAGAUGUGGAGGAACACCGAUGGCGAAGGCAGCCGCCUGGGCCAGCACUGACGCUGAGGAGCGAAAGUGUGGGGAGCGAACAGG